rnacentral:rRNA from 1 species
AGAGUUUGAUCAUGGCUCAGGAUGAACGCUAGCUACAGGCUUAACACAUGCAAGUCGAGGGGAAACGACAUCGAAAGCUUGCUUUUGAUGGGCGUCGACCGGCGCACGGGUGAGUAACGCGUAUCCAACCUGCCCACCACUUGGGGAUAACCUUGCGAAAGUAAGACUAAUACCCAAUGACGUCUCUAGAAGACAUCUGAAGGAGAUUAAAGAUUUAUCGGUGAUGGAUGGGGAUGCGUCUGAUUAGCUUGUUGGCGGGGUAACGGCCACCAAGGCGACGAUCAGGUAGGGGUUCUGAGGAGGAAGGUCCCCCANAUUGGAACUGAGACAUGGUCCAAACUCCUACGAGAGGCA